rnacentral:rRNA from 1 species
CAGUCGCCACGGGAAUACGUAGGUGGCAAGCGUUGUCCGGAAUUAUUGGGCGUAAAGCGCGCGCAGGCGGAUCAGUCAGUCUGUCUUAAAAGUUCGGGGCUUAACCCCGUGAUGGGAUGGAAACUGCUGAUCUAGAGUAUCGGAGAGGGAAGUGGAAUUCCUAGUGUAGCGGUGAAAUGCGUAGAUAUUAGGAAGAACACCAGUGGCGAAGGCGACUUUCUGGACGAAAACUGACGCUGAGGCGCGAAAGCCAAGGGAGCGAACGGGAUUAGAUACCCCAGUAGUCCCUGUCUCUUAUACC